GCCAAGCCGCGAGGUGGAGCUAAUCCCAUAAACCGAUCGUAGUCCGGAUCGCAGUCUGCAACUCGACUGCGUGAAGUCGGAAUCGCUAGUAAUCGUGAAUCAGAAUGUCACCGGUGGAAUAACGUUCCCGGGUUCCGUUCGUU
rnacentral:rRNA from 1 species